rnacentral:rRNA from 1 species
GAUGAACGCCAGCUACAGGCUUAACACAUGCAAGUCGAGGGGUAACGAGAGGAAAGCUUGCUUUCCUUGUCGACGACCGGCGCACGGGUGAGUAACGCGUAUCCAACCUGCCCCCAACUAGGGAAUAACCUUGCGAAAGUAAGACUAAUACCCUAUAAUUUCCUCAGAUCUCAUCUGACGAGGAAUAAAGAUUCAUCGGUUGGGGAUGGGGAUGCGUCUGAUUAGCUUGUUGGCGGGGUAACGGCCCACCAAGGCAACGAUCAGUAGGGGUUCUGAGGGGAAGGUCCCCCACAUUGGAACUGAGACACGGUCCAAACUCCUACGGGAGGCAGCAGUGAGGAAUAUUGGUCAAUGGGCGGAAGCCUGAACCAGCCAAGUAGCGUGCAGGAUGACGGCCCUAUGGGUUGUAAACUGCUUUUAUACAGGAAUAAAGUUAGCCACGUGUGGUUAUUUGUAGGUACUGUAUGAAUAAGGACCGGCUAAUUCCGUGCCAGCCGCCGCCAUAA